rnacentral:rRNA from 1 species
GACGAACUGUGCAAACGUUAUUCGGAUUCACUGGGCGUAAAGGGUGCGCAGGCGGCCGUGUGUGUGAGGCGUGAAAGCCUGGAGCUUAACUCCAGAAUUGCACCUCAAACUACACGGCUAGAGCAUUGGAGAGGGUAGCAGAAUUCACGGUGUAGCAGUGAAAUGCGUAGAUAUCGUGAGGAAUACCAGAGGCGAAGGCGGCUACCUGGACAAUUGCUGACGCUCAGGCACGAAAGCGUGGGGAGCAAAAGGG